GGGGGCGAACUGGGUUCGACCGGGCGAGCGAAGCUUGGAUUGCGCGUCGAGGUUGAUCGGUUGGCCUCGUUAAAAGCCGAUUGAAAAUUUCAAUUGCCAAUAACCAAAUGGCUAUGGCCGCCUAAGAACAGGCGUCCCUGGAUUUGAGCUUUAGCCGAAGAGGCGAAAAAUCCGGUCGUUAAAUUCGGAUCGUCUUGCGCCGCGUCGAACACGCGCGAGAUUAAAUUUUGCUUUCGAAUCGUUUCUGCGAAACCGUCGUCGAUAAGGGUUCAAGGGAACUAAAACUUAAAGAAUCGACUACACGCGUAGACGUUCCUGUAUAGACGUCGCGGGACGCGGGUUCAAUUCCCGCCGCCUCCACUA
rnacentral:tmRNA from 1 species